AUCGAAGUGACAACAGAAUUGCCAUUAACAACUACAACAAUGGCAACUGAAAGGAACGUAGACGUCACCACGUCUGCUAGCACAAUCCUUGAAGUUACAACACAACUCCAGUCUCAAAAUAUUGAAUCGACAGACAAAACAACAACAGACAAGAUUUCCGAAACAAACGCUAUUGAACAAACGCAGUCGGCAUCUUCCUCAUCGACACAAAGUAAUGUUGGAACCGAAGCGUCAACGGAAUUGCAAUUU